rnacentral:ncRNA from 1 species
CAAAGGCUUGGUCCUGACUUUUCUAUCAGUUUUAGCCAGACUUACACAUGCAAGUAUCCGCACACCCGUGAGAAUGCCCUACAGCUCCCCGCCCGGGAACAAGGAGCCGGUAUCAGGCACACGUAUACGUAGCCCACAACACCUUGCUUAGCCACACCCUCAAGGGAAUUCAGCAGUGAUAGACAUUAAGCCAUAAGUGAAAACUUGACUUAGUUAAAGCUUAGAGGGCCGGUAAAACUCGUGCCAGCCACCGCGGUUAUACGAGAGGCCCGAAUUGAUAGCCAGCGGCGUAAAGAGUGGUUAGGGAUAGUCCCACUAAAGUCGAACGCCUUCAGAGCUGUUAUACGCUCCCGAAGGCAAGAAGCCCUACUACGAAAGUAACUUUAAACCACCUGACUCCACGAAAGCUGUGAAACAAACUGGGAUUAGAUACCCCACUAUGCCCAGCCCUAAACCUUGAUAAUUAAUUACAUUUAUUAUCCGCCCGGGUACUACGAGCACCAGCUUAAAACCCAAAGGACUUGGCGGUGCUUUAGAUCCACCUAGAGGAGCCUGUUCUAGAACCGAUAACCCCCGUUAAACCUCACCCUCUCUUGUUUUUCCCGCCUAUAUACCGCCGUCGUCAGCUUACCCUGUGAAGGCCCCAUAGUAAGCAAUGCUAGUACAACCCAAAACGCCAGGUCGAGGUGUAGCAAAUGAGAGGGGAAGAAAUGGGCUACAUUUCCUAACCAGGAAAUACGAACAGUGUUGUGAAAGCAACACUAGAAGGAGGAUUUAGCAGUAAGUAGGAAAUAGAGAGUCCUGCUGAAACCGGCCCUGAAGCGCGCACACACCGCCCGUCACUCUCCCCAAGCCAGUCACACCCAAUACAUAAUAAGAUAAAAAGGCAAAGGGGAGGCAAGUCGUAACAUGGUAAGUGUACCGGAAGGUGCACUUGGACAAAAC